UCCAAAUAUAGCUAGUCAAACCCGGUCACAUGACCAACGUCAAUUACUAAUCCACCUGCACGUCCAAAGGCGCCAUUUUUAAAAUGAACAUAUCAGAUAUUUUAAAAGCACAACGGAGUUAUCAAACAAAAAGUUAUUCGGCUUCAGAAGAAUUGGAUUUUACCCACUGGAUUUAUGGAUCAACUUUGGGAUUUGUACUAUCUUGGCUUUAAACACACGGAUUGCCAAAUUGAAAGUGCAGAAAAUAAGACAUGAUCUGACAUCCCUCUUGACGAAAUGCGGAAAAUCACACACGCGGGCCACUCGUCUCCCUCACGACUUCUGAACAGGGAAGGAAUAUGACAGACUGUGUUUGUGUGGUGAAAGCUCUGGAAAUCAUGCGGCUGUGUUACCUCAGCCCACACAUCUCUGAGCUGGAACUCGCAGAGGCAGACCUUCUCAAACGGAUUAGGACCAGGAUAGGAUUGGCGCAUCACUGUUCCACUGCUCUGAAGACAAGACAAUGUUCCUCUCUGGUUUAAAACGUUCACAUUCAAUUUAGAGGUGGACGAUUCUGGACACAUCCGCUGUCAUGACGCCUUCAAGCAGCUGCACAGGUGCGCAUUAUAAAAGCAGAUCAGGCAGCUCUGAACAGGGUGAGAUUAGGUGAAUUCUGCUGCCUGACAUCCUGACACCAAUCACAAACAUCUCUUCCAGGGUUAAUAAUCAAUGAACCUCCGACAACUGUGAUGUAUCCGCAACACAGAGUCUAGAAAGAAAUCCGUUUGGCUGAACAGAAUUGAUUUCAUUUUGGAGUUGCUUUGCAUUCUUGUUUGCUUCUGUCAGAUCCGUAUGUUCAUGUGACUACUUUGUAGAAAGCAUUCAGUUUCUUUUAAUAUUGUUAUUAGAUGCUUAUUUAUAAGCAGGGCUUGACAUUAACUUUUUUAAGCACCAGCCACGGUGGCUAGUAGAUUUCCAACAUUACCAGCCACUCGCCAUUUUCACCGAAUUUUUUUGGUUGGGAAAAUGUAUUUUAUAUGCAUAAAUAUGACUUUGACAUGCUAAAAUUACUUGAUUUAGAUGUUGUGUUAUGUGAUAUGUCCACAUGCUUCCUCAUUCAUUUAACUUUAUGUAUGAGCUUGCUCAAUGUGCUUGAGCAAAUG
rnacentral:lncRNA from 1 species